AUUCACCCGGAACGUUCUAAAGACGUUGAGGGGUACACUUCAGGGGUACAUUCGGCAACGCACCAGCUGUCAUGGCGCCUCACUGUUGUGUGCCCAAAUGUUCGUCCUCAAAGAGAAAAAAAAUCCUACCGUGGACAGACUUUCCACCGUUUCCCCAAAGAGCAGGCACUUCGCCGUGGAUGUAUAAAUCACAUCUAGAGGGGUCCUGGUCCAUAUUUCAAGGUAAGAUGCAAAAUUAUGUUCAAUCAUACGCAUUAGCUAGCACAAAUAAGCUAGCUCGCCAAACUUGUCAUGACUCAUGUAGCCUAAUGACGCGAAUGCCUCGGUGAAAUAAAAAAUAUGAAUGUGUAAUUACACAACGCUACAUUUAUAUGAUAUUUCCAGAUCGCUAUUUCAAGAUUAGGCUUUUAAUUGUGUGGUAAGCGAUCCGAUGGCCACUGAUUUUGUGCUACCAGAACCAGUAGCAUAGGCCUACUUGUGCCAAAAUCAAGUUGUUUUGCUAACGAACUAAAAUGCAUACCCUGGUAUUUAUGGUUACAGAUCAACGCUGAGACCAAGGUUUGCUCUGAGCACUUUGAGAAGCAGUGUUUUGUAAAGACCACCCGUGUUAUCACAAAGCUUAUAAAGGAUGCUGUGCCAACUUUCGCCUGGACUUCAGAGAGGCCAAAGAGGAGAAUCAUCAUUCGCAGACCGAGAGAUGAUGACCCAUUCCUGAAGUUGGACGCCAGAAUGCAGGAAGGUGCUGUUUAAGAGCCUAGGCGGUGGAAGAAGCACUUGCAGGUAUGCUACCGACCAGGCUCCUCAACAUCAAUCCGAGACGGAAGAUGAAACGGGAUGAAGCAGUUAGAUUGAGACAAGGAGGCCGGAAACUUUGAUGACCUCAAUGACACUGGCUAGGUGAAGGACAUCAAGAAAAUGGCAUCAGGUCACCAGACAUCAGCUCAUAAUCCACAACGUCAUCAACCAUUUUGCGCCAAAAAUGAAGCCGUUCACAUACCAUGGCAUCCUAAGCAGGCAGCACUACACUACUGUGCAACAGUGAGAGAGAGUGGGCAAGGACAAGUAAAGCGGACCUACACUACAGCAAGACUUUGACACUUCUCCACGUGA